CUUGUUUGGUGAUGUGUCAUUCA
rnacentral:siRNA from 1 species